CUCCCGCUGACGAGCGGCGGACGGGUGAGUAAUGCUUAGGAAUCUGCCCAGUAGUGGGGGAUGGCCCGGGGAAACCCGGAUUAAUACCGCAUACGUCCUACGGGAGAAAGCAGGGGAUCUUCGGACCGUGCGCUAUUGGAUGAGCCUAAGUCGGAUUAGCUAGUUGGUGGGGUAAAGGCCUACCAAGGCGACGAUCCGUAGCUGGUCUGAGAGGAUGAUCAGCCACAUCGGGACUGAGACACGGCCCGAACUCCUACGGGAGGCAGCAGUGGGGAAUAUUGGACAAUGGGGGCAACCCUGAUCCAGCCAUGCCGCGUGUGUGAAGAAGGCUUUCGGGUUGUAAAGCACUUUCAGUAGGGAGGAAAACCUUAUGGGUAAUACCCAUGAGGCUUGACGUUACCUACAGAAGAAGCACCGGCUAACUCCGUGCCAGCAGCCGCGGUAAUACGGAGGGUGCAAGCGUUAAUCGGAAUUACUGGGCGUAAAGCGCGCGUAGGUGGUUUGGUAAGCGAGAUGUGAAAGCCCCCGGGCUUAACCUGGGAACGGCAUUUCGAACUGUCAGACUAGAGUGUGGUAGAGGGUAGUGGAAUUUCCUGUGUAGCGGUGAAAUGCGUAGAUAUAGGAAGGAACACCAGUGGCGAAGGCGGCUACCUGGACCAACACUGACACUGAGGUGCGAAAGCGUGGGGAGCAAACAGGAUUAGAUACCCUGGUAGUCCACGCCGUAAACGAUGUCAACUAGCCGUUGGGACUCUUGAAGUCUUAGUGGCGCAGCUAACGCACUAAGUUGACCGCCUGGGGAGUACGGCCGCAAGGUUAAAACUCAAAUGAAAUUGACGGGGGGCCCCGCACAAGCGGUGGAGCAUGUGGUUUAAUUUCGACGCAACGCGAAGAACCUUACCUGGCCUUGACAUCCAGAGAACUUUCCAGAGAUGGAUUGGUGCCUUCGGGAAACUCUGAGACAGGUGCUGCAUGGCCGUCGUCAGCUCGUGUCGUGAGAUGUUGGGUUAAGUCCCGUAACGAGCGCAACCCCUAUCCCUGGUUGCUAGCAGGUAAUGCUGAGAACUCCAGGGAGACUGCCGGUGACAAACCGGAGGAAGGUGGGGAUGACGUCAGGUCAUCAUGGCCCUUACGGCCAGGGCUACACACGUGCUACAAUGGCGCGUACAGAGGGCUGCCAACUCGCG
rnacentral:rRNA from 2 species